AGCAGCCGCGGUAAUUCCAGCUCCAAUAGCGUAUAUUAAAGUUGUUGCAGUUAAAAAGCUCGUAGUUGAAUUUCGGGAUCAAUUAAUUGGUCGUGCCUCUGGUACGUACUGAUUUUAUUGGUUUCUCCCUUCUGACGAACCAUGAUGUCAUUAAUUUGGUGUCGUGGAGAAUCAGGACUGUUACUUUGAAAAAAUUAGAGUGUUUAAAGCAAGCUAACGCUUGAAUACAUUAGCAUGGAAUAAUGAAAUAGGACGUUUGAUCCUAUUUUGUUGGUUUCUAGGAUCGACGUAAUGAUUAAUAGGGAUAGUUGGGGGCAUUAGUAUUCAAUUGUCAGAGGUGAAAUUCUUGGAUUUAUUGAAGACUAACUACUGCGAAAGCAUUUGCCAAGGAUGUUUUCAUUAAUCAAGAACGAAAGUUAGGGGAUCGAAGACGAUCAGAUACCGUCGUAGUCUUAACCAUAAACUAUGCCGACUAGGGAUCGGAUGAUGUUAAUUUUUUAAUGACUC
rnacentral:rRNA from 1 species